rnacentral:rRNA from 1 species
UACGUAGGGUGCGAGCGUUUAAUCGGAAUUACUGGGCGUAAAGCGUGCGCAGGCGGUUCGUUAAGUCAGAUGUGAAAGCCCCGAGCUCAACUUGGGAACUGCAUUUGAAACUGGCGGGCUGGAGUGUGGCAGAGGGGGGUGGAAUUCCACGUGUAGCAGUGAAAUGCGUAGAGAUGUGGAGGAACACCGAUGGCGAAGGCAGCCCCCUGGGCCAACACUGACGCUCAGGCACGAAAGCGUGGGGAGCAAACAGG